rnacentral:rRNA from 1 species
GUAGGUGGCAAGCGUUGUCCGGAAUUAUUGGGCGUAAAGAGCGCGCAGGCGGUUCUUUAAGUCUGAUGUGAAAGCCCACGGCUCAACCGUGGAGGGUCAUUGGAAACUGGAGAACUUGAGUACAGAAGAGGAAAGCGGAAUUCCACGUGUAGCGGUGAAAUGCGUAGAGAUGUGGAGGAACACCAGUGGCGAAGGCGGCUUUCUGGUCUGUAACUGACGCUGAGGCGCGAAAGCGUGGGGAGCAAACAGGGAUUAGAUACCCUGGUAGUCCACGCCGUAAACGAUGAGUGCUAAGUGUUAGGGGGGUUUCCGCCCCCGUUAGUGCUGCAGCUAACGCAUUAAGCACUCCGCCUGGGGAGUACGGCCGCAAGGCUG